UCCUACCUGUUAUUGCCACCGAAGCCGCAGUUGUCCCUCUCUCCCCAGACAUUUCGGUGGCCGGUGGCCAGCAGCAUCGACAGAAAUUGGAACAGUGGCUAAGUAAUAUCUUGGGUUAAAAAAUCACAGCCAGGUGUGGCACACACCUUGCCUCUCAUGGCAUCACACCAUUCAGGCAGCUGCUUUUGGCACCCACAAGCAAGGUUGGUGAGACACCCCCCACCAGGGGCCCCCAAGGUGAAGCAGAGCCUUCUUCCCUGGGGUGAGAUACCAUGAGGGUGUGACCUAUGAGGACAGGAGAAACAGGAACAAGUGGAAGGCUCACACACAGACCAAGUGGGUGUGAAAAAGGAAGGAGAAUCGGAAGUCAAGCACCAGGGAGGGCACCUGAGAGCCCCUGAAGGAACCCAACCAUAGGUGCCAAAGCAUCCAGGAGCUUUACAGCUCAGCCACUACAGCCCUAGCUGUGCAGGAGGGGAAACCAAGUCUCAGAGGGGAACCUGAGGUCACAUGGGUAGACAAUGGUAGAGCCAGGGCUAGAAUGCAUGUCUGUUAACUUCUCUUCCU
rnacentral:lncRNA from 10 species